CUAUUUUUUUUUCUUUUUCAGAACCACAUAAAAAAGAAAAAAUAAUGGAAUCUGGAAAAACAACAAAGAAAGAAGCAAAAGUACAUGCAUCUGUGGAAACUCCAAAGUCAAAAGCAGGACUUGAAAAAAAAGAAGGAAAAGCAACAAAGGCAGCAGUGCAAGGUAAAAAUAAAACAAAACACAUUGGCAUUAUCUCUCUUAAAGCACAAUGGCACAGAAACAAUAACCUC
rnacentral:lncRNA from 1 species